rnacentral:rRNA from 1 species
GCCGAAAGGCGUAGUCGAUGGGAAACAGGUUAAUAUUCCUGUACUUGGUGUUACUGCGAAGGGGGGACGGAGAAGGCUAUGUUGGCCGGGCGACGGUUGUCCCGGUUUAAGCGUGUAGGCUGGUUUUCCAGGCAAAUCCGGAAAACCAAGGCUGAGGCGUGAUGACGAGGCACUACGGUGCUGAAGUGACAAAUGCCCUGCUUCCAGGAAAAGCCUCUAAGCAUCAGGUAACAUCAAAUCGUACCCCAAACCGACACAGGUGGUCAGGUAGAGAAUACCAAGGCGCUUGAGAGAACUCGGGUGAAGGAACUAGGCAAAAUGGUGCCGUAACUUCGGGAGAAGGCACGCUGAUAUGUAGGUGAAGCGACUUGCUCGUGGAGCUGAAAUCAGUCGAAGAUACCAGCUGGCUGCAACUGUUUAUUAAAAACACAGCACUGUGCAAACACGAAAGUGGACGUAUACGGUGUGACGCCUGCCCGGUGCCGGAAGGUUAAUUGAUGGGGUUAGCGGUAACGCGAAGCUCUUGAUCGAAGCCCCGGUAAACGGCGGCCGUAACUAUAACGGUCCUAAGGUAGCGAAAUUCCUUGUCGGGUAAGUUCCGACCUGCACGAAUGGCGUAAUGAUGGCCAGGCUGUCUCCACCCGAGACUCAGUGAAAUUGAACUCGCUGUGAAGAUGCAGUGUACCCGCGGCAAGACGGAAAGACCCCGUGAACCUUUACUAUAGCUUGACACUGAACAUUGAGCCUUGAUGUGUAGGAUAGGUGGGAGGCUUUGAAGUGUGGACGCCAGUCUGCAUGGAGCCGACCUUGAAAUACCACCCUUUAAUGUUUGAUGUUCUAACGUUGGCCCCUAAUCGGGGUUGCGGACAGUGUCUGGUGGGUAGUUUGACUGGGGCGGUCUCCUCCUAAAGAGUAACGGAGGAGCACGAAGGUUGGCUAAUCCUGGUCGGACAUCAGGAGGUUAGUGCAAUGGCAUAAGCCAGCUUGACUGCGAGCGUGACGGCGCGAGCAGGUGCGAAAGCAGGUCAUAGUGAUCCGGUGGUUCUGAAUGGAAGGGCCAUCGCUCAACGGAUAAAAGGUACUCCGGGGAUAACAGGCUGAUACCGCCCAAGAGUUCAUAUCGACGGCGGUGUUUGGCACCUCGAUGUCGGCUCAUCACAUCCUGGGGCUGAAGUAGGUCCCAAGGGUAUGGCUGUUCGCCAUUUAAAGUGGUACGCGAGCUGGGUUUAGAACGUCGUGAGACAGUUCGGUCCCUAUCUGCCGUGGGCGCUGGAGAACUGAGGGGGGCUGCUCCUAGU